UUUGUGUUAUAUCUUUUGUUUCUUCUCCAUCACUUCUAUAUUUCCCACAAAGAGUAUACAAUAUGCAGACACAAAUGCUAGAUUACGUGAAGACUAAUCAUACUCUCCCUCAACCUCGAUUGGCCAUCACGCUAAAGUUGACUGAAGAUCGGACAACCUUAAUAUUCACGCUAUAGAACUGAUCUAGUAGGAAGCCUUUUUUUUUU
rnacentral:lncRNA from 1 species